UACGUAGGAUGCGAGCGUUAUCCGGAUUUAUUGGGUUUAAAGGGUGCGUAGGCGGGCUUUUAAGUCAGCGGUAAAAAUUCGGGGCUCAACCCCGUCCGGCCGUUGAAACUGGGGGCCUUGAGUGGGCGAGAAGAAGGCGGAAUGCGUGGUGUAGCGGUGAAAUGCAUAGAUACCACGCAGAACCCCGAUUGCGAAGGCAGCCUUCCGGCGCCCUACUGACGCUGAGGCACGAAAGUGCGGGGAUCGAACAGG
rnacentral:rRNA from 1 species